GAUGCCAGGUACUUCUCCUCAGGGACACACGUCCGAUUGAUGCAGAUCUUCUUCUCUCCGCACCGCGUGCCAUCCUUGAUGACCCCAGCAUCUGAAGUGUCCAGGCCCACGUGGUACUCUGUGCCCCAGCACCAGGUAUUGUCACAACAAGGGUCUGAUUUACACUGUUCUUCUGUGCCACAGUCACACUCCUCCCUGUCCUCCAGGACACCGUUCCCACAGCGCUGAGGUACGAAUCUUGCUAUAGAAGAUGGGAUGUUAUUCAGACAUUGUCCUUGCCCUGAUGUUAUAAAAUCAAAGUAGUACUUUGUGCUGCAGUUGCUGAAUCCAUAGCUCACUGUGCUCUUUGGGUUCAUGAUGCAUUUAGAGGCAUUUCCACACCUGCAGUGUUCAUCAUCGUGCUCCAUGCCAAGGACAUAUCCUAACUCAUGAGCGACAUGGACAGCAGUCUCAAUGUAAGUGUGUUUUGCAAAUGAUACAACAGCAGAGGAGUGCUGUCUAUUGCAUGCACUGGCAAAGUUUGAUUCACCGCCCACAUGCAAUGCUCUUGUACUGCGACUGAAGUCCAGCGAGGCAAACAGACACCCCACAUCAUGCAUGAUGUGUGCAGGGCCAUGCUGAAUCCGCCAGCGGUUGAAGCUGUGAAGGACCUGAGUUAUGUUUUUGGUGAUACUGAUAGGGUUCUUCUCUGUCCAAAUCUCCAGUACUGUUAAUAACACACGAAGGCGGACAGAGGAAAACAGUCCAUCCACCAGAUUGAUUAUUUCAAUAACCUCCAGUGUCACAUUUGUUAUACUUGUGCCGAAGGUGUCAAACCCCUCCUUGUCCACCACCACCAUGAGUUCCAAGUACCGCGUGCGUCCCCAUGGCUGGAACUGCCUGGGUGCUGUCCCACGACCUGGAAAUCGCCUGCCUCCUUGGAGUGUUUUGUAGAUCACUGUCCCAGGAACCACUGCCUCCCUCUGCAGGAGAAGGUGCUCAAAUGUGGAGGAAGCUGCCAGGGGCUCGAUGCUGUAGCUCAAGUUUCCAAUCUGCAGCAGUCCCCUGAGCCCAGAGCAGGUGGUCAGAGUCACCGUGGAGUCCAGGAUGCCUUCCACAUAGCCGUGGUAAUAGCAAUCUGCCAGCACACGGGGCUGCUCGAUCAUCACCUGCCCUUCAGAGUCACGAGUAACACUGAAAAGGAGAAAUGCAAACGUUUUCGUACACAGGAGUUGAACGUGGCAGAUGAGGACAGAUACAGGUUUCUAAAAGAAAAACUUGAAGGUAUGACAGCAAAACUUUGACAUGUUGCUAUUUCCAAUCUUUCUCUAGUCAAGUUCUUCUAACCUUUUAAUAUAUAUACCUUAAAUAAUCAAGUCACAGGAGAAGUCAGAUAUACAUAAAGUUUCGAAAAAGUCAAAUGAUUUCUCUUAAAUAAAAUUCUAGGAAAACAAACCAACCAACUCAACAACACAGCUUCCCCAUUUCCUUUUAGUGUUUUGACAAAGAAUGUCCUCUUUGUUCCCACACAACCCUUCCAUCUCAAGGUAUUUACAAUAUUCACAGUCUGCUGUAAAGCAUCAGUAGAUUAUUACCACUAAAAGGCUACACAACCAAGAUAAGGUAUCCUGCAUUUAUGUCCACUGAACAGAAACACAAAAGAGAAAGUAAAGUAUCACUUUAAAAUAUGCAAAUGAGAUCAAUUCAAGUGUGUUUGUAUUUGAAAUCUAAAACAUAACUUUUUCAAGAGUAAAAGAAUCGACUCUGUCACAGAAGUAAAACCAUUUGACCUUCAGUUUUCCUGAUCUGCCCCUCCCUGCCUCCAUUUUAGAUCAGGCCACUCUCAGUUCUCACAGACACUAAAAUCAAUAGCAAACCCAUACAAAGCAGUUCCUCAUCACAAAAGCCCUUAGAAAUGUGACUUCCCUUCAGACACCAAAACACAAUCACAGGUGCACUCACUCUCCAAUCAGUAACUGCUCUCAGUAGUACAAAACAGGCUGAAGCAAUCUCUACAGAGCAUCACACACCAGCGUACAAGCCUUGCUGUCUUUAGCACCAGAUCAAUCUGUCAAGGAACAAUCCUGUCCCAGUGUUAUACUCCCAUGGAUGCUCUCAAGCUCCUUGGAGCUGAUCAGGCUGUGGCAUGGCAUAGCUACAAACUGAUCCAUGUUUCUGCUUGGAAGUCCUGGCUCCCAGGAAAGCACCAGAGUGUUUUCCUCCUCAGAGGGCAGGGUUGCAAAGUGCUUUUGUGGGGAAUUUUCUAUGCUCCUAUUCAAACUCUGGUGAUUUCCUUGUUUGUUUAUUUGCCAUACUUAGAAGUUCCCACACAAUGAGAUAUCUCCCAAAAAAAGACAAAUUUCAAGUUAUAAAGGAAAUAUCCAUACAUUUCAAGAUUGUGCGGAUGUUGACAUGAUCUGGUAUUUAGGACAAGGACAGAAAUGCACAUAUGGCCUACAAACUUGCUGAUGCAAGAUCAAGAAAUGACAAAUACUCAUCUCCUGCCAAUUCCCUACAGCUGUCAUUGAUGCAAGUCAGUACACAAAUAUUCCAUGUAGUGUCAGAAGUACAAUGCUGGCUUAUGCCAAAACUCCCCAUUUCCAUCAGAGAAAGUGAUGGUUAGCUAGGGACUGUGGUUCUCACUCUGCAGUAAAUCAGGCAUUGGAAAACUGUCAGUAGGAUUAAAAGAAAGCUGAUAAGGUGUUGAGGAAGAAUGGGAAAUGAAAUAUCUCCUUCAUGUAGAAAAACUGAGUUACUGCUUACAAAAUUGUAUAGAAAGAGUCAGACAGUGGUUUGCCAUCCAAGCUAAAGGUUACAAGGAAGUCUGUUAUAGAAAAGAGACAAAAAAGGAGGCUAGACUGCCAUAAGAGGAAACUGGGAGAUUCAUGGCUCAAGUUUGUAAAUGUAAACCCAAAAUUAACGAGCUAUGAAAUAUAACAAUAAUGUUCAAGAGUCGUUACUAAUAGCCCUGAAUUGGCACUUCAGUCUGCAGACCGAACUCAUUCAAUGUCUGCACGUGUUUGGUACCAAAAUAUCUCUAUAAAAAGCCUUCGACCAGUCUCAAAAGAAAGAAAAGUGUCAGAAGGUAGAAAACUAGAAAUAUGUACAGAAUCUUUUCAUUCGUUUGUUUCAUUUAAAAUAAAAAAAGCAGCUUUUGGAGCCAAUGUUCCAAACUAGUGUAAGAAUCUGCCCUGGACAGCCUCGUGGUCCAGGCAGCAUAAGGACAUGUGUCAAGGAGCAGCCCUGCAUCUGUGGCUCCACCAGGAGGAGCUCGAAGGCCUCAAAGAGAUGCGGAGCUUGGACUCCAGAGGGUGACACAACAGAAGGAUCACUGUGGAUUCACACAGCAGCACUAGGACCCUUGCCACGAUGAUCUCUUUCAAACAAGAGGAUAAGUCUGAAACAAAGCGUUGGAUCUUCUAGAGAGGAAAGAAUAGGGUGGAACACACACAGCUGCUGAUCUGGAGACGAAACAAAUGGACCCCAUACUUACUGUUGUCUGUAGAAGAUCCCAUCAGAAAAAUAAAAGCUUGUACGUAAGUAACUAGAACAUUCUUUGAUUCUGCUGUUGAAGAGCAUGAUAAAAAGAGGAGCCUUAUGCUGAACAGCCAUUAGGCCAUAAGGAAGUUCUGAGGAAGAUGGGUUACAGGAGAAAGAAAGGCAGCUACUGAUCAGAACUGAAAAGCACAGCUAGCAUAUGGACUCAGGUGCCCUUGGCAAGGCCAAGCGUGGCUCUGGGGUCAUCUAGCAGAACAGAAGGCUAUUUUGUUGCCUCUAUAUAAAGACUCAGAAUUUAGGUGCAAAGGGUAGCUAUGAAGUUUGUAUUUCACAGCACUUGCUUCAAGUACUUACUGAGCAGGGUGUUGAGAAACUGGCUGUCUUUUUCAUAUAUAUAGUCACUGCAGCUGGCUGUAUGUAUAGCAGAUGGAAGGCAGCUUCUGCAACUGGUUAUUAAGAAAUAGAAUGGUUUUUAACAAUAUAAUUUGCCCCAUCUGGGGGACUUACGAUUAACAGUACGUAAGUGAUCAUAUAUACCUCAAGGAACUGAGUUUUAAAAAAAUAUUACAGUACCAAUGAUUUUUUUGUAUCUACAACUAUACAGCAUUUUCAAGCAGUAUGGAAAUUUAAUGAAAUAAUUAUGAUUUAUUAAUUUACAUAAAAAUACUUUUUACAGUUAAAGAAUAAAUCUUAAAUGGUAAAAAAAAAAAAUAAGAUUAAGAAGCUCCAGCUAUUGAGAGUCAUGGGAGUUUGUCUGCUCUUCAAUAACUUGUUUUACUAUUUCUGCCAGUUUUAGUCGAUCCACUUUAUCUGUAAAUCCUCUGCCUGAAAGGAAAACAAGAGGUAGUCAGCAGGUGUUGGGCACAAGGAGGAAAGUCAUUACUGCUGGCAUCGUACACUGGUUGGAGACAAAACACACUUAGGACAGCAUUUGCAGGGCCAUCAGGAUGAGUUAAGAUCUCUGGCUCUGCUUAAAACAAAACAAAAAAAUGAAGGGAGAGGCAUGGCCAAGCCUUGUGAACCUGGCUGAUGCUGUGCUCUGUUUUGUCAAGGAGCCAUCUGAACAAUCCCAAAAGCAGCUGGCCUAGUUUAAUUCCAUUUCCUCCCUCAAUUGAGCAGAAGAGAUGUUGUGCUGACAGAGAUAAGGGCAGCAGCCUCCAACAGAAUGAGGGUAACGAGCAGCUGGAAGGAAACCAGCUGAAGCAGUUUCUAAUGUAAAGAUCUAUCUGUGCUAAGUUCCUAAGCAACCCGGUGCCUUUGAAAGCUCUACCCUGAACCUCAAACAGGAAUUUUGAAGCAGAACUUCAAGCCUCAUUUCUAAAACAUCCAUGCUGGAGAAGGGCUGUAACCUACCCCAGCCUGGCACAAACUCCAAUUUGUUUCAUUUCCAUGUAAUAAGGUCCCUGCUCCCACCCAUGCACCAGCAUUAGCACUGUUCUCCAGGGAAGAGGAGUCCCUCACCAUUCCAGCUGAAGCUCUGAAGAGUAUCUCGCAGCAACUUACACUCCCGAUUAUACUUCCACGCCUCCUGCAUCACUUCAUUCAGCUUCUCAUCCUCAUUCUCUCCUGUUCAGGAGAACAAAGAUAAACAGGAGCUUUGUCAGUCUGCCUUUGAGCAACAUCCAGUGCUUAGUAAACAUUAUGUUCAGUUAUUCCCCCUUGCCUCAUACAAACUAGGAAACUGGCCUGAAGGCAAACACUCCUGUUUGGAAGUUAAUUUUAACAGCUCCACAUGUUGCUGUUGACAUUAGUGUUAUGCAUGCACCAAAACUACAGUCCACAGAAAACAUCCUCUCAAGACAGACUGGGACAGACUGUCAGUACUGACACAGACUGAUCCUGAGGCACAAGGAAAAGAAAUCAAUGCCUGGUUUAUUUAGGAAUGGAACUUUCUUAAAAGUGGCAACCUUUACCAGCCUGUGGUAGAAUGCACUGAGCAAUCACAUCUCUGAGCUUUUCCAGAGCCACAUUGGAAUCAUUACUUCCAUUCUCCGGGUCGUGGAUGUAAACACCAUCCUUUGGCUUUGUGCUGCAAAAGAACAAGGAAGGAACAAUUACAAUCUGAAUGCAACUCAUGUCUGCUACUCGUUGCAUAACUGUACCAGUAGAGCACUCUCUUUCACUGUCUGGAAAGCUGUGAAAGGGAUCCAAAUUUAGCAUUAAUUAUUACAACAUGCUACAUUACAAGACCAUUUUAAAUGAAGAAAAUGAAGAAAAAUAAAUGUUAAUUCACAUUAAUUGAAGGGUAAUCCUAAAAUUGAUCAUUCUCUUUUUCAAAUAGGUAACCUGAACAAAGAGAGGUUACCUGACUUUUUUUUUUUUUGGUAAAUAAAUGUUAAGAUCUGGAAAAAAAAUUGCAAUUCUUUCUCCCGUGUUGCCUUCUCAACAUCUGACUCAUCUGCUCAUAAUGGAUCUGUUUCACUGUCAUAUAAUAAAAUAACUAUUCCAUCUCUUUUCUCACUGCCCUAUCUUGGAAGAGGCACCAUAUCAUGCAAGUAUGACUUGCUCCAACCAUCUGCUUCUGCACGAAGAGCGUGGCAACCAAAUCAGCAAUUCGGGAGCACAGUUACAAUUGAAUGAACCUGUAACAUGUUUAAAGUCACUCUCCAAGCAUCACAGCUGCCUACACUCUGAUCUUUCAAAAACAGCUUUAGAGAGUUACCCCAGUAAUUUCCUUUUGCGCAGGAUAGGGUUGUUGACGGAGUGAAGGGGUUUGAGACUGACUUUGAGGUCUUGGAUUCUCAUGUUUGCAAGCUGUUCUGCAUGAGCCUGUUGUAUCCCUGCAACCAUUGCCUGGAAGGAAAAGAAUUACGCUUUGUGAAUUCAUGGACAAUGUUAGCUAUGGCCGUGAUGUGACAGACAACCCUCAAACCGCCCAGGAGCUGUUCAGCUCCUCUGUGCAACGUUCUUGAUAAAACAAAAUGUUGUUUAAACCUUGUCCAUCAUCAGCUGGGCAGAGGGUAGGAUGUUAUCCAGUGCCUCAGUGGAGUUGAGCCAGGGAUGGUCCAGCACACCUUCGAUGGUCAGCCGCUCCUCUGGUUUGACCUUCAGCAACCUGGGAGAGGAAUCCAUCAGUCCACAAAGAGGUCUUUGGGGAUGUACAACGCGCGGCUCCGUGAGACCAGAGCACUUAGCAAUCUCUAAACACUAAAGAGACCAAAAAAAUGAAACCACUCCUAACAAAACAAAACCUUCAGCUGACCUCAAGGCAGCCCGGCUUUCCAUCAGCCUCGCUGAGCCUUGCUGCGGUGAUAUUUUAACGCAGUCACAGCUCAUUCAGUCAUAAUCAGCAAUUCAGUGUAAAAAAAGGCACUGAAGGCCAUUUUGGUAAUACCUGUGUUCAGCUGAACUCUAUAUUCAUGUCCUCCCACAUGGGAAAUUAUCUUCCAGACAAGCUGGAAGUGAUCCAGACCAACACACCAUAGAAACACAUGUCUAAAGCUCAUCUGCAUGACAGUCUAUAUGCAGACCAAGGACUCUGGGCAUAGUAAAGUAAGGCAAAGCUUCAAAGCUCAAAACCUGUUUUCUGAAUUAACUGCUUUCACUGGGCAACCCCUUUGCUUUUUUUCCCCUCUGUAAAAGCCUCAAAUAAUGGAUGAUUUGGCAAGCUACAGCGACUCAGAAUGAAAAGGAACAUUAUUCUGAAAUCUCUGAAAAGCCCUCUGAAUUAAAUGUUACUGGAAAGACACCCUGGAAGGAGAUUAUGCAGAUAAACUCACGUUCCCAUGAUAAUCACUACUGUUUAAUAGAGAAAUAACGUUUCACACAGAGCACUGACAAGUAUUCCAAAUGUUUAAAUUAGGAACAGAACGAGUUGAUCGGUUUGUCACACUUUCUCAGACAAUACUCCAAAUCAGAUUCCUGGCUGCAGAGCUGAACUGUUUAAUGUACCAAGAAAGUGGAAAUCACUUUUACAAAACGUCAGCGAGACCACGGGCUGGCUCAUAACAUUUCACUUACAAGGCCAUGCUGCCAAACAGGCUGUCAGUUCGGUGUUAAUCCAAGACACAUGCCUUCCUUUUCCAUCAGUUUUCAAUGUCCUCAUCUAUACUCAAGCAGCCCCGCUUGUAAAGCUUGGGGUCAGAAAUCAAUUUGACACGCUUGAAGGGAAAUGGCCUCCUGAAUGCAAAAUAGGACCUCCAGAAGCAAGCCUUCACGUGAAUAGCAUACACAUAAAUAAUGUGUAAACCUCUCCAAAAUUACAUACAUUCUAAAUGUACUCCUGCACCGUAAGCUCAAAUUCAGACUCUUUGGCUGGAAAAGACAGACCGGAAAGUGAGACCUGAUAACAUAAGUCAGAGAAUUGAGUGAAAUGAACUGAAUCCAAGCGACAGCACUCUGUGAGUUUCAUGGCCAUUUUAAAACACAAUGAAACCUUCUGACUGUUGGCCUCGGUUUAAACAGAAUUUUCACUGCAACAUAAUCUGCAAUUUAUUUGGUGAAAGAUUUGGGCCCUCCUGUGCUGCUAUGAACAGGACUCAGCACCCUUUCCAAACUGUGUGAAGUCUGCAGAGGUUUUACAUUACAUCACAAAAGACAGCAACAGUUUAAACUUGUGUAACAGAUUGAUUUUUUUUUUCCUAUUCCUAUUGCUUUUAUCCUUCCAGUUCUUCUGGUCAUCCAAAGGCAAUAAGUCGCUCUUGCUUUGGAAAAAAUUAAGUGAGGUCAGCACAUAAUCAGCGUUACAUUCAUGCUUUCAGAUAGGACCACUGGAUCACAACGUUUGAAAUACUUCACAUGAGAGAUGUGUACUGCAGGAAAACCAGCUCCCAAGCAGCAUUUAGAAGAAAACACCCACGGAAAACCUCAUCUCAUAGUCUGACGCCUUGCAACAGACCUUAACCUCCCUUCAGACUCCUUUGAAACUGCAUAUUAGCACACAGGGUUCUGAGGGGGAGAGCUACUGAUGGACUCAGCUGGUCGCUUCCUAUGAGCUACCCAACUGCCCUUUGGUUUUACAGGAGUUUGGACACUGCCACAGGAGAUGUGCACCUGGAGAGUGCCCGCAGGUGUGCAGUCGGUUACAGAACAAAAGCACGAUGUGCUCUAGCAACUUUGGGGUCAUCAGAAAUUGUACACAAAGAGAAAAGAAAAGAGGGGAGAGGGAGGGAAGUAUUUACCAAACUUCUUUUGCGCUGAACAUAGGAAUCUUUUCAGCUGUAUGUGCUGCACACAGUUCACCCCACCGCUGGAAAAACAACCCCUUUGUGCUAAGGCACUGUCACGUGAUUUUCCAAUUCCUUAAUAUAAGCACAGAGCAACACAACAUUUGCCUCAGCUGACUCACUUUCGCACAAUGUCUUUCGCCAUUUCUGAGAUCUGGCUCCACUCUUCCUCUGGAAAUUCAAAACUUCCUGUCAUGAUCUUUUUCCGCAUGUCCUUUGGAAUUGUCCGACUGUGGUGUUUGGAGUAAAACGGAGGGUAUCCACACAGCAUGACGUAAAUAAUGACACCCAGGGACCACAAGUCACAGCUCUGAAAGCAAGGAAACGAUCACUUUGGGGCGCGAUUUGCAGCAAGCAGCAGUGCACCUACGUUCAAUGUUCCACGUGAUUCCCUAUGGACACAGGAGCACAGCUCCAGAAAAAAGAACAUCUGAGCAUCCUCAUGGAUUUGUUCUUCCUCUCUUAUAAGGUCAUAAUUCCAUCAGAAACAUUUCCUAAGUAUUCUUCUCCCUUUUAGCUGCUGGUUGUUGUAUUCUUUCCUUCAAGAGGAUACCUGCCCACUAUUUCUCCCUGCUCGUUUGGUAGAAAAGUGUAUUUGAAAUUAUCUUUCUGGUAAAUAUGCAAGCACAAGGUAACGCCACGCUGCCAAGCUGAACUCUUCCAGCACUCGAGCCAUCUUGUUUACAGAUCGUGCUCCUGUAACUGUGCUGGGCAAUGGCAACCUGCAUGGAAACUGCAGUACGUCAGAGGCCGGAAUGAGCUGCGUAUUCAUUACCUCUCAGGAUAGCUGAACCCUUGGCUCUGAAUGUCAGAACAGAAGUCAGAAUAUCAUUCAGUCGUUUUUUUAAGAAUGUGAUACUAGAGGGAAGAAAACAAAAGAGAAUCUGGAUAUCCAUGUGUUCACAACCACUCUGAGGAAGGGAAGAGGAUCAUAACUGCCCAGACUUUGACUGGAGCACAUCCUUAGAGAUGCAGCUCUGGUAUCACUUGGUGCAGGCUGGGGCUGGAAGGACUGGCUCUGCAAUAUUUCUUUCCUGCAUUUGUGCAAGGAUCUUUUUUUUUCACUCGUUGGUUUUCAGCCCUAUCAGUCCUCCAGGGGAAUUCCGAUGGCUUAUGGCAAUGCAAGGAGGGUCAGGAAUAUACAGACAGGAGAAUCCUGAGCUCCAGCUAGGUGCAGGUGUCUGUGGAAAGCUACCUGAGGGCAGAUUUAGGGAGCUGAGGGGCUGGAUAGGUUCUGCAAUCAGUUCCAAAGCCAGAAGCCUGUGCAGCUGCUCAGCACCAUAUUGUCCCUGGGGACGGGAGCUGCACUUCUGGUUGUGGAGCCACAUGGAUGAACUUAGCAAACAGGACCCCCAGCUCCCAAGGCUGGUUUCUGACUGGAUCAGCACUGACCCAGAAAGGGUCUUUCAAAGGUGUUUCCUUCCAGAGGGAGCACACCUGGAUCAACUCUUACUGAUCAUUAAACCACAGCCUUCGCUUCUGGCCACAGAGUCACUCCCCACAGGUAUCUGUGUCAGUCAGAUGGAUCUAGAAGUCUUAAUUUCUACUUAGUCAUGUGAUUUUUACUGUUUUUCCAGUGACUAGAGAUAAUUUCUAAUGGUACCAAUGGGACUUCUGGUGUGCAAGUAGGAAACAGGUAUCUAAAUCUAAAUUCUUUCUGGAUAUGGUUCUGAGAUUUUAUUUUUCAAGAGUCAGCCUCCUCUACUGUGACAAACACACACAUCUGAUCCAAUGCACACACAACAAAAAUACUCAGAAAGUCACAGAUGUGUUUUUUCCUCCAAUUUACAUCUGUGGGAUGGAGCUGCUGACCAUGAAGGUGAAUCACAGGCCUUUCCACCAGGCUCUGACUUGCUGUGGAAGGACGGGGUACCUGGGAGUUUAGCACAGUCUAUUUGGGGAAACCAGGCAUAUGCCAGAAGUUGCUUUUGCAGUGAGUCACACUUGGCAAGGUAAGGAUGAGGCUGCUCCUUUUCUGUCAGUGCCAUCAUGACUGAAAGCAGUUCACAGUGACCAAGCAGUACUUUUAAAAUGAAACACAUGCAAACAAAUUAACUGCAUCACACUGCAAAACCCAGGUGAUUGAGGCACUUGUUAGCAUGUAUGUAAACUCUAGUUGAUACCUAUUUUCAAAGCUCUUCUAUUCUGUACAAGAACAUGGCCCAUAUUCUGCUUUCGUUGCCCUAGACAAGGCUCAUUAAAGAACAGAUUAAAGACCAGGGCUCGUUAAAGAAUAAAACAGCUGUCAAACUUACCAACAUGAACAGCGAGCAAUCACUUCCAAGUGACUCUGAACUGCACCUACCCUUUUACAAUGAAAGAGAAGUCCCUUGGAAAGCACUAUUAUCUGAGAUUCAACCUGCUUCAAUCCACAGUAGUGCAAUACUUGACCCUGCCUUGUGAAGUGAGUGAUGCUGAUAUGGAGGAAGAUGUUUUGCAAUGACCAAGAAAAAGUCCAAUCUAUCAGGACGCAUUCUGUCAGAACUCUGCCAAGAUUCCAGCAGCGGUUGUCAUUGCCCAUGGUCUCCUGCUACAGACAACACAAUGUGCUAUCAGUUGUCUGGCAGAGGAGCCCUGAUGCAGACAAGACACCACCACUACUGUCUGACCAACAUAGCCUAAACAGUGCUUUGCACAUCCAGAAACUGCAGCUGACAGCAGAGAAGAGGAUUCAUUUGAAUCAGCCUCUUCUGAAGGUUAAAGAACUUCCCACCUGGUCUCUCAAAAAUCUCAUUAACGUUUAGAGCUCCUGUUAACAGCAAGUGUAUAUUUUCCCUUUAAUUGGAGGAUCAUUAAUUAGGCUGGGACCAAAUGUCCAUUCCAUUAUUCACUCCAUCAGAAAAAACACAGAUCCACUCCCCUACCCCCUUUAGCAUGUCACUUCUAACCUGAGUGAGAAAGACAGCUACCUGCACGGAUCAUUAUUUGUACCAGUUCUCCCAGUCAACUGAAUGAAACCUGGGCUGGCCCUGGCACAUUUAAGGGGAGAAAUACCAAUGUAGCUGUGAACACUCUAUUCCUUCCUUCAGAACGGUUGAAUAAGCCACAGAUUUGAGAAAUACAGCCCCAAAGCUAUCUCCUUAUGGCUGAAGAUACAUACAUAUACCAGAAAGCAAGCAACACGAUGUUUCCCUCCAGUUCCCUGUAGAUCCUGCUUUUAGCUCAGUGUGAGAUGUCUACCUAGUUAGAUGUAUGGCUGUCACAGAGACCUGAACAACUUUAUUGCUCCUGGCUGUAAGUGUGUGAAAUUUGAGGACAAUAAAGUUUGUUGUCUUAGGUGAUAAACUGCACUUACAGACUACGUGUACAGCACCUGAAUCUGUGGAGGGAAAAAAACCCAACAAAAUGCUUUGAAGACACUGACAUGCAGACUGUCUCAUAGCUUACCUUGUUAUAUGUGUACGGUGUUGGAGAGGUGGGGAUAAUACCAGAUUUUUCUUUCUGAUGCCGCCUUUGUGCCUCCAAUACCUGUUGCCAUAAGAGGAGAGGAUUGCAAAAUGCACACAGCUUACAGAAACCACAAACAAUGAUGCCCAUGCCAAAGAUGUCGGAUUCUUUUCCAUUGGUGGCCUUAUUACAGCUCCUGAACACUCUGCCAGGCUCAGCCUGCUCUUCCUAAGACUGAAUGUUUUGACAUGGGGGGAAAAUUCAGCUAAGCAGGUAAAGUAGCACUACAAAAAUCAGCCUGCCUGUAACUAUAAAUUAUGUCUCAACGCUAAUGACAAGAGGGCCAAGUCGAAGUCAAUUGGUAAACCACUGACACUGCCCUCCUCCUAAGCAAUUGCCUUUAUAGAACCUUAUUGUUUCAGCACAGUCAUUUGGAAUGUGAUCUUGUAUGAGCCUGAGCUACAAGGAUCUGUGAAGCAGGGACUUCUCCAAACCAACCACACAAUCUGGGAAAUCUACAUCAUGAUCUCCUAUUCUGAUCAGUGUACCACUGCAGCACUCAGUCUUGAAAGGUUGCUCCUAAACAUUUACUCAAGACUCCUGCAUGCAGAAGCUUUUAAUAAGACAGCAAGGGCUUUUAAGAUUAGGUUAUUUUGAAGGCACAAGCAAAAGGUCAUUAUCCCCCUAUAACUUAAAACUGUAAUAGUUUGUUACCUGAGGUGCUACGUAAUAUGGAGUGAACUGUGGUGUCAUCAAGUCACCUUGGUCUACUUUGGCAAACCCAAAGUCACACAAUUUAACAGGUGCAUCCUAAAACGAGACAUUGCAUUACAAAAUCAGCUUUUCUACUACAUCCUUAAUGUUUCCUACUCAUCUUACCUUUACCCCAUGUAUUCCUGUUCUAUAUUUAUACUCCUUUCAUCCCACAAAGCAGAUAAAAGAUGAUAAACUGAUCUUUGCAACAACCAUCUUUGUUCUUUUGGGCACUCUGGGCCAAAGCAGUUGCCUUCUCUGCUUUGGAAAGAGCCACACGCACUGUAGGGAGGUCAGUGCAUGUGCAGGUUAUGGGCAAGAGAAGGAAGAAACAAGCGCAUGGUAUGCACACUUCAGUCAAAGCAGCUACAUCGCAUGUAUGAAACAUCCUAAUGACAUGAGGGGCAGAGAGGAUUUUCCCCAUGACCACGCAGGAGUAUGGAAACACACAAAGCCAAAAGUCAUUCCUUUUUGUCACCAAAAUAUUGCAUUAAUAUCAGUUUACAGUUUUAAACUAUUCUAAAAAUCACCACUGAGCCAUUUUUACAGAAUUCAGCAGCAAAAAACAAUACCAAGUUUUAAUCUUACCAAAGAGUUAUCCUUGAAGAGGAGAUUCUCGGGCUUGAGGUCUCUAUGUGCAAUGUUUAGUGAGUGGCAAUGCUGCAAAGCCAAAGCUAUCUGAAAAAGGGCACAACAAAUCAGCUGCAGUUAUAGAACUCUUCCUUCAGCCUGGAGAGUUAGUGUCGCUUUAAAAAAGACAUUUCCAACAUAUCCUAGGCCCCAACCUUCUUAAUUCUGCUUGUGUACAACUCUGAGGGAAGACAACUCUGGCUGUACAGAGCAGCAGUGCAGUAAAGCGUGAAGACAGGGAGAUGAAACCAAUGAAGCUCUUCAGUUUGCAUUUCACUCAAAGCAAACAGAAAAUAAAAGCUAAGUUGUAGUGGGCUUCCCACCCCUUUUUGUUGGACUACCUCUGGGCAUUAUUACACCUCCCCGAAGUGGAAUGGGUCAUGAUGGUGUCCUUUUAUAUGCUGUUCCAGCCCUUGGGAGUGACUGAACUUGCUUGCAUGCUCUCCAGUGAUUAUGUAAGUCAAACAUGAGUUCUUGCCUCAGCAUUUCAGCAAAAUAUUUUACUGCAUUUGUUACCAACUUAACAGUUACCACUCAGGCAGCUUUAUUCUUUAGUUCCUGAACGUACUGCCUGCAAUCUAUUCAUGUCAUGUUAUUACACUGAAAUGUAUUGCUUGGUUCUUUCAAAGGCAACUUCUUAUGCUGCUGUGGUUUCGAAAGCUGUAACCUUGUCAUGAAAGCUCUACAGACUGUACAUCAGAAAGGAAAACAAAUCAUAAAUACUUGAACAGCAUUCCUGAAACCAAAAUAAGGCAAAGGCACGUGAUCCCCAUUUGCAAGUGUUCCUCCUGUAGGAUCGUACCCAUAAGCAGCACUCUGGGUGAAGUGCUGAGUCCUUAAACAACUGCAAAUUACUGUGACAGAAGAAGUUCAGUGUUAACUCAUCUCAGAAACAAAUAUAAUGAGUAUUCUCAGAUGCAGUAAGGGAGCUUUGUGACAAGGUUUUAGCUAUUACUGGGUAGAAGGAACUAAGAUCUGUCCAAGACAUUGAUGAGAAUCACCAGGUUAAAGAAUAAGUUGCUACCAAAUAUGGUAUAUUACCAUAUAAAUAUGGUAAUAUGUUGCUACCAAAGUAAAUUUAUAAGCACUGUUUAUAAACAUUGCUUAUAAAUGUGAACACAAAGAGUUACUUGCAGCAUGAAUAACCCAAGUGCGUAUCAAGUCUGUGUUCCAUUUAAAGGUAUAGUCCUUAAAGAAUUUUCCAAUGUGUUAAUCCCAGUAACUGCCUUGCACUGCCAGAAUCAACCCACUCAAAGGACAUGACAAUACCAUGUCAAGAAUAAUUCUGUAUUUCCACCUAAUCUCCUUGCUGGAUGAAGCCAAAAAAGGUAGCAGCAUUAUUAGCAUUUCAUUAGAAAUAACUCAAAGCAUAAGACAGAAUAUUAAGAGGAAAUUAUUCAGCCCUCUUUUUUUUUUUGCCUCAGUACCAAAAACAUCAUCUCCCGAAUAGAGGGGGAAGGGGGUGAUCAGGAACUGGGUAUAUUCAUAAACAAUGGUGUCACGUUACACCAAAUGCUGUAUAAUCUUAUCUCAUGUUCUCUUUCCUUUAUCCCCUACAUGGAAUAAAGCCUUUUGGCUUGGUGCCACAAGUCAUCCAAUAGCUUGGGCUUAAAGGAACAAACCCACCCUGAUCUGAGAACUGACACUAGGGCUCCCCACACCGAAUCCCACAGAGACCCUUCUGCAUUGUCAUCCUGCCUACUCCAGCUGGAUGAGUUAGUCACAGCAGAUGCACUGCUAAGCCACAAAUAGCCCAUGGACACUAAAAUGUCUUGUAAUAAAUAUCAAGCCUCUAAAAUCACAACAUUCAAGAAUGAGUUGCCUAGAGAAAUGGAGAGGGAAGGACAAAAUCAGAACAAACAUCACAGAAAACAUGAGCUAUAGUUGGACAGUCCUCUUGGGUUCUUCCACAAAACCAAAUCCAGAACUCAGGUGGAAAACCACUGAUGCAGGACACGAGUUAUUGUCUGCUACCCCAUUUAAGAGCUGAAAGAAACUCUUAAGUCUAUGUCACAGCCAAGAAUGAUUCUCAAAUUGGAGCUCAGGAGCAAGCAUUGUCUGGUGAGAGCCUGUGGACUGAUGGAUGGAACACUUCCAGGACAACAGUGAGGAAUACAGAGAAAGAUUGUGCAGGAAAGAGUUCUCGUCAGUGAAGUUCUGUAAACCAUGUUAGGAAAACCACUGCUAAGGAUGGCAGACAAUAGGGUCCCAACACAGCAGAACUAGCCCACACCUUCAAAUUCUUUCCUUCUAUUGAAACUUAAGCAUUGUCAGAUUAUAACAAAGCAGGCAAUGAUCACUGGAUCAGAACUGAGGAUUAUUUUAGCUUCCUUUUUUCCCACCUCCCCCCCCACCCCAAGAAAUUGUUAAAUACUUUAGCCAUUAGCAUUCAUGGAUUUGCUUAUACAUGGGUGUUAACUUGCCUGCUUUGUUACUUGGCUUGCUUGCUUCUCAGUAAAGUGCCGGUGCUGGCUGAUUCUGUGAAAUAGCUCUCCCCCUUCCAUCAUCUCCAUUACAAUUAGGAGCCGAGCCCUGUUCAAAAGCAUUUUAUUUUGUUAUAUUAAAAUUAAUCAAAAGAAGAACAGAAUUGCUAAGCUAAUAACGCACACUUCGUAUCUACUGAUGCAGGCAAAAAAAGAGACAUACUUGUACAGUUGUUCUAAGCCAUCAUUUCAGUGAUUUGGUCUUUGUGCAUAACCUGCAGAUCUUCUGGCUCCCAGCACACCUGACUCACUGAUUGCCAGCCAGGAGCCCACAGUUUGCUCUUCAUGCUGGGACCCCACCUCCAGCUGGAACAAACCCCAUGGACAUGGGCACGGGUGCAUUUACACAGAUGCAUGCACGCUGCACCCACACCUUCCACCAGCUUGGGUCCAGCAGCCAUUGAGAUGCACCAAUGUGCAACUCCACCUCCAGAGAGUAAUAAUGCAGGCAGAGUGCGUGAAACUGAGCUGGCUUAGAGCACACCUACACCUGUCUGCCCCCAUCCUUGCCUAGCUAGCUGCCUGCACGCUGGAGAUGUUUGUGGCAUGGGAGAAGCAGGAGGUCGAGGGUCAUCUUUAAUGCUUUUGAGUCUGAAUACUCUGCUGUACCUCCUGAUUUUAAUUUACAGCUUUACUGCCGUAAUUGCAAGGGACAAAGUGUAGAAAUCAAGGAGAUGACGACUGGCAGAGCCUCAAGAAAUUGACUUCUGGUUCUUCUACAUUUUAUGCUGUCAGCCAAUGCAGGUGUCACAGACUGAAUCAGUGCAAAACCUCAGAAAUGAAAAUGUGCUCAAAGCCAAUACUGAAGGAUUCAAGUUUAUUUAAAUAUGCGAAGGCCUGGGCAUCAAGAACAGGAAAAAGUAAAUGUUGCUUAACCUGAAGUGCAGAAAUCAUGUUUGGAACCUUCAAUAAGUGUUCAUUUUGGCCACACUGUGAUUGGAGGGGGAAAAAAAGCAAGCAGACUCCACUAUGCCUUAGCCUAAAUAUGGAAAGCAAGCUGUGGGAAUGAAACACGCCGUGCAGUCUUACCUUGGGCUGGAUUCAUGUGGGAACUGCACACUGUUAGCAUAAACUUCAAUAAUUUGAACAAUAUUUGGAUGUGUUGCACACAUCAUGUGCAGACGUACCUUAAAGAGAAGGGAAGAUAUGUUACUGUACGUAGUGAUGUGCAUCCCAGCAGCUCUGGUCCCCUCUCUGCCCUACAACUGCUGCUCAGCACCGCUCACACGCAAUGUAAAAUUCUCCUCCAAUUAUUCAAAAAUCUAGGAGUAUCUCCAACACCUAAAUAUGCACGUAAGUAACCAGCAGCCAUCACACACUGGGACUAAGACAAAAAGUUCGUGCUUUGCGAAUCCAUUUGUCACAGAUCACAGAAUGAAAUCCAGCAGUUCCUGAAGAAGCCCAAUCUUUAGGGCUGCUUUGUUGCCGCUCUUUGUUUGUUUUUAAUUGUGCUGGGAGUUUUAUUUUAAGAAACUUCAAAGAGGAAUUGGCUUUAAAUUAGUAAUGAAGAUCAGACUUAAGCUAACACAUAUCUUGAAAUUCAAGAAAAAAACCUGAAAUUUCAUAAUUCUACUCCUCUUAUGGCUAAGAGGAUGAGCGUAGAGCUCAGGACACAUGGAAGGAAACUCAUUUGCUCAGACUUUCUGAAACAGGAACCUAAGGAAUGCCACCUGGACUGCAAGGCUUGAUGCUCUUCAUAUCCAAACCUCCUUCCUUCUUCCUCUGGGAACUUUAAGGGAGAAUUUAGUCCACAAAUGGAAAUGGCCUGAACCUUGAGGACAAUUAGCACUCUUUCUUUCCCCCCACUUUCAUGAAAACUUGAACAGCUGUUCAUUAUUUUAAACAGGCUGAUGGUUUGGUGCAUUGGCACGCUCACCACCCUCAGCGCAUCACAGACGGUAUCGGUGAGCUUCUUUAGUUUCUCCUAUACAGACAAACCCAAACAAUUUCAUGUGCAACUUGAGGCGUUCUUGGCAGCUCUUCCAGCAGCGACAUCCAAGAGUGAGAUGUGUGGACACAGAACGACACCUCAGCUAUUCAUGUUACACUGCAUGGGACAGAGGCAGAGCUCUGAAAAUUCCUCUUGCACACAUACAGCUAACAUAGAACAUCCAGGGUCAGAAAGACCUGGUGCCCCCCACCCCCAUGCUCCAGGAACAAGCCUGGAGGACCAAACGCAAGGAAUCCUGCAGAGCAAGACCUGCAGAACACAGAUAAUAAACUGCUGCAGCAAUUCCUUAAAAGGGAGGGCUUUUGUGGUGUGUCAGAUAGCAGAGUAUGAAUAAAAACUGUACCUCAUUUCUAGCUUUUGGACGAUCAAGAAGGAUUUUCAGUGCAAAGCGUUCUUGAGAGGAUUUUUUCACGCAGACUCUGGUAUUACAGCAACAAAAUUAUUUGGUCAGCAAGAACGUUAAAGAGACACUUCAAGCAAAUUGAUGUGUAGUUACAAGGAAUGCCCAUGGGAUACACAGAGCACCAUCACCGGAUCCCAGCUGAAAGCCUCAGCUUUUGGCCUUCCACAUCAACCAAACACCUUCUGCAGAACCACCCGACACAAAGCUCUGCUUUCAGCAAUGCAGGAAGAGUGCUUUGGAGCCACGGUAACAGCUGAACGCACUCCUCCUAUUCAUCCCCAAGAGCCACUUGUGAUGAAAAAACCCAUAGCGCACAGAGGCAGCCCGAGCAUCUCCCAUGGAGGAUGGUGUCUGAGAUAAAUCAAGUGUUUCCGUACAGACAUCCUGAUUUUGAAGGGCCAUCAGCCGUCCUGCAAACGCUUUUUCUCUCUUCCCCCCAUUUAAUAUAAACAACUGAACUACGUCAGAGGGCAGGGCCCUAUGAACAGGCAGCAGAAAGCAUUGAGAACAAAGGGAUAUUUUAAUAAAGAUCGGAGGCAGCGACAGAAAAUGGAUGAGAAGCCAAUUGCUUGAACAGAAAGAUAAAUGGUGGCAGGGGACAACAGCCCACCAGGCUCCCACGCCUUUGUGCACAGGCACUGGAAAACAAAUUCCUGCCCCCAAAGGGAAGCAUGCUUUGUUUCCAGCUCCUGCAGUGGUCACAAAGCCACACGAAGCCUGGUGCUGGGUGCACGCUCUGCUGGGCCUCGUGUGAGGAGCUGAAAAAGCAGCUGGUAAAGCAGCACACGGUGCUGAUGGCCCCAGCAUUGACACUGAGAUGGGAGCAGUGACAUAGGGCAGCAGGAGGACAUCAGUGCCUGAGCUGCACUUCCCAGUGCCACCGGGUCACAGUCAAUCCCUGGGGCUGCUGGGUUUCAGGAAUAUGGCAGCAGUGAGCAGAAUUUUUACUUCCAGCAUACCCAGCAACAGACAACUCCCUGCUCACACAUCAGCUGUGAGUACAGAGAUAUUUAUUAGCUUGUAGAGCCUUCAACACCACCAUGCCUUCUGCUCUUUGCACACUUCAAAUACAUACUCACUUCUGCACAGCUGAGAUUACGUGCAGAUCCACAGAUGCGUUGCCUUACCUAACAGGGCCACUGAUCCCAGCUCCCAGCUUCUGAGUCCAGUUAAUGUUGUACUCCUCUAAAAUGGAGGUUUCCUAUUCAAGAAGGAGUGGGGGGAGGGGAAAGAGGAAAACAAACAAACAAACCAAACAAAAAAGCAAACAAAAUUACUACAGCCCUUCCCAAACACCCAGCUCAGCAGCUGAUCUGCAGAUAGCAGAAUGCAGACAGAGCCUGUUCUGCAGUUCUGCUUCACCUAGGAAAAUUAAACCUAAGUGCAAACGCACACGGAAUAGAGCUCAGCAGAAAGUGAUUUCUGUGCUGCUGAGGCUGCUCCCCCCGGCAUUUUGAAGCAGGAUUAUUGAGAACAGCAAAUGGGAUCUUGCUGCUCUAACACAGAAAGCGCAUAAAGGAUAUUUCUCCCCCCCUAGCCCUUCAAUCCAGCUUUCUUCCUACAAAUGAUCAACUGCAAAGGCCCAGUUACAGCAUUAUCACAUCCUUCUUGGUCAUACAGUGCAAUGGAAAAUCAUUUUUCUGUUUUCUUCAGGUUUGCAAACCUUUGGAAUCAUUGUACUGCAAAUUAACUGCUGCGUGACUCGUUUUAGCUUGUCUGAGAAUGAACCAAGCUCAUGUUUAUAAUCCUUUUGUCCAAAUCCAUACAACCAGGGCAGGGGUUUGUUAUGACACAGCCUGGGUGUGGCCGUUUUUAAACAUGUCCUAACAUUUGUGGGGUGCAAAUGGAGCGCUGAGAAAUGCAGGCUGGGUGCAGAAUGGUGUGUGCACACUGGGGUCACAAAUCACACACAGAAUUGGAUUCCAAAAAGCUCUGCUUUCUGAGCAACUCCAAGCAAAGGAAGUGGUAGCAAAAGCUGGCUCCAGAGAUGCUUAAACAAGCAAGUAAAUGCUUAGAAAAAUAUUGAAGAGUCAACCACACAUAAAGCAACUUUUUUUCGGGUCAGAUUUUUCUGCCUACAUUAAUUUUCAUUCAAAACUGCAGCACUUCAGCAUCCACUCCUGGUACAAAUGGAAGGCAUGGGCAGACCCACAGGUUGUGGCCCCACUGAUCACGCUGCAGCUGAACCUCAAGCCACGUGGGCUGGACACAAAGCCAGAGGAAAGCUGAUCUUUAUGGCAAGAGCUGAUGGAGUUAGAGAGUGUAAAAGAUAGAGAUAAAGGGAAAAAAUAACCUGGAGCAGACAUUGCAGAGAUCAUAGAUGAUAGCAGGAAAGGAAAAUGCGAAAGGUAGUUUUUAAGUGGAGAUUUCUGGUGGAGUUUUAAAAUAAAGAGGGGAAAAAGGCAAAGCCCAGGAACAGCGGAUCACAGUGCUUCACUGUUUUCAAAGCAGACAACACUUCUCUGUGCUUCUAUCAAUUAAAUUAACACAAAUUUCACGGCCUCGUGAGAAGCACAGAAGGGAAAAGCCAACUUCAGUUUCCUGCUGCUCAGACACAGGGAACCAAAGGCAUCAUAACCCGAGAAAAAGCAGUUUCAGAAGAACAUUACUGAGUGAAGGCCUUCAGCUGAGUCGGGAGAGCAAGGCAGAGGAAUGGGAAUUGGACAGCACAUGAUCUAUGAAUCAGAUGAAGUGAGAAUAAGACCUGGUAGUUCUCAGCUCCUGAAGAACAAACUCAAUGACUGCAGAUCAGUCCAUUUUUCAUGAAGAACAAAUGCAUUUCCUCUUGCACGUUCUGGGCGUUCACCAUUGUUCUAAAAAAAACCCACCUUUUUUUUCCCCUGUGUGUUUAUUUAGAUUCAAAUCUUCAUUCAAAAGUAGCUUCACAAUUUAGAAAGAAUAAUCCAGUAAUGAAGAAACACACUCCACCAUUUCCUACUGACAUAAAACACAGUAUUUGAGAACUCCACUGCUCCUUAAUGUACAACAUUGCUGCCAUCUCCUAGCUCAGAAACAAAAGCUCCAAACCCAGCAGCGAGACCACACAAAGCUGUAAAUCAACACUGACUCA